UUGUUAUACCAGUUUAGCCUAAUAUAUUUCAAAUUAAAAUUUAUUAAUUUUUAUUUUUCUCAAAUAUUAAUUGUUUUUAAGUUUCAUAGGAUCUUAGCAAACUGUUUUUGACUCAGCAAAAGGUCAUUUUUAAUUUAAUGUCUUUAGAUGAAAACCAGAAGCAUCUUAAUGCUGUGUUGGUUUUUCUUGUUGCUUUCACAGCCGCAGAUGGUCGAGUGUUUCUAACAAACUGUUAAUGUUAUGGUGUGUUAAAGAAACCUGGGAUUUCUAAGCAUCAGUCUGUUAGGUUAAUUAGUUUCUCUAAAUUGCUCUUAAGUAUGCGUGUGUAUGGCAGGCAGUUUUAGCAUAAAAUUUGUUUUGUCUAAAUAACUUUCAUGACUAAAAAUGUGUUUUAAUUUGAAAUAAUACAUUUUGACUAUACUGACUGAUAAUUUAAGAUUUAUGCAUUUACAUUCUGACUAGUAAGAGCAUGAACUUUUUGAAAUCUACAAGGAAUUUCCUAUUAUUCUCUGCCAAACAACGCACUUAAAAAUGGCUUUAAAGAGUAAAAGUACUGCUGUAACCCAUUCUCAAGGUGAAAACGGAGUAUUUUCAAAAAAUAUUUCAUAACUUUUUUCUUUGAAAUUUUAAAAUUCUAUGUAGAUCUGGGACGUUUUGACUAGACAGAAUAAUUAUUCAGGAUAUAGUCAGAAGGUUAAUUCAAGAUAUAUGAAAUAGAAAAGUAAUCUAGAUUAAAAAUGUGCCAGAUAUUUAAAAUUUAUUUGGAAAAGUAUUAAGUAUUAAAUUCCACUUCUGGUUAUCGGUAAGUUAAUUUGCAUAU